GGGAAGUGAAACAUCUCAGUACCCUUAGGAAAAGAAAUCAAUUGAGAUUCCCUCAGUAGCGGCGAGCGAACGGGGAUCAGCCCAUUAAGUUAUGUGUGUUUUAGUGGAACGCUCUGGGAAGUGCGAACGUAGAGGGUGAUAUUCCCGUACACGAAAGGGCACACAUAAUGAUGACGAGUAGGGCGAGGCACGUGAAACCUUGUCUGAAUAUGGGGGGACCAUCCUCCAAGGCUAAAUACUCCUGACUGACCGAUAGUGAACCAGUACCGUGAGGGAAAGGCGAAAAGAACCCCUGUGAGGGGAGUGAAAUAGAUCCUGAAACCGCAUGCAUACAAGCAGUGGGAGCACCUUCGUGGUGUGACUGCGUACCUUUUGUAUAAUGGGUCAGCGACUUAUAUUCAGUAGCGAGGUUAACCGUAUAGGGGAGCCGUAGAGAAAUCGAGUCUUAAUAGGGCGUUUAGUUGCUGGGUAUAGACCCGAAACCAGGCGAUCUAUCCAUGAGCAGGUUGAAGGUUGGGUAACACUAACUGGAGGACCGAACCCACUGUCGUUGAAAAGCCAGGGGAUGACUUGUGGAUAGGGGUGAAAGGCUAAUCAAGCCUGGUGAUAGCUGGUUCUCCCCGAAAGCUAUUUAGGUAGCGCCUCGGACGAAUACCAUAGGGGGUAGAGCACUGUUUCGGCUAGGGGGUCAUCCCGACUUACCAAACCGAUGCAAACUCCGAAUACCUAUGAGUACUAUCCGGGAGACAGACUGCGGGUGCUAACGUCCGUAGUCAAGAGGAAAACAAUCCAGACCGCCAGCUAAGGCCCCAAAAUCAUAGUUAAGUGGGAAACGAUGUGGGAAGGCAUAGACAGCUAGGAGGUUGGCUUAGAAGCAGCCACCCUUUAAAGAAAGCGUAAUAGCUCACUAGUCGAGUCGGCCUGCGCGGAAGAUGUAACGGGGCUAAAACUAUGUGCCGAAGCUGCGGAUGUAUACUUUGUAUACGUGGUAGGGGAGCGUUCUGUAAGCCGAUGAAGGUGUGUUGAGAAGCAUGCUGGAGGUAUCAGAAGUGCGAAUGCUGACGUGAGUAACGACAAAACGGGUGAAAAACCCGUUCGCCGAAAGACCAAGGGUUCCAGUCCAACGUUAAUCGGGGCUGGGUGAGUCGACCCCUAAGGCGAGGCCGAAAGGCGUAGUCGAUGGGAAAAUGGUUAAUAUUCCAUUACUUCUGUGUAAUGCGAUGAGAGGACGGAGAAGGCUAAAUCAGCCUGGCGUUGGUUGUCCAGGUGAAAGGAUGUAGGCAUGUAUCUUAGGCAAAUCCGGGGUACUCUAUGCUGAGAUCUGAUAGCAAGCUGUACUUGUACAGCGAAGUGGUUGAUGCCAUGCUUCCAGGAAAAGUCUCUAAGCUUCAGUUACACAGGAAUCGUACCCGAAACCGACACAGGUGGUCAGGUCGAGUAGACCAAGGCGCUUGAGAGAACUCUGCUGAAGGAACUAGGCAAAAUGGUACCGUAACUUCGGGAGAAGGUACGCUGUUGUUGGUGAUGGAACUCGCUUCCUGAGCUGACGACAGCCGCAGAAACCAGGCCGCUGCAACUGUUUAUUAAAAACAUAGCACUCUGCAAACACGAAAGUGGACGUAUAGGGUGUGAUGCCUGCCCGGUGCUGGAAGGUUAAUUGAUGGGGUUAGCGUAAGCGAAGCUCUUGAUCGAAGCCCCAGUAAACGGCGGCCGUAACUAUAACGGUCCUAAGGUAGCGAAAUUCCUUGUCGGGUAAGUUCCGACCUGCACGAAUGGCAUAAUGAUGGCGGCGCUGUCUCCAGCAGAGGCUCAGUGAAAUCGAAAUCGCUGUGAAGAUGCAGUGUACCCGCGGCUAGACGGAAAGACCCCGUGAACCUUUACUGCAGCUUGACACUGAACUUUGACCUUACUUGUGUAGGAUAGGUGGGAGGCUUUGAAGCUGGAACGCUAGUUCCAGUGGAGCCGUCCUUGAAAUACCACCCUGGUAAUGUUGAGGUUCUAACUCUGUCCCGUGAUCCGGGACGAGGACCGUGUCUGGUGGGUAGUUUGACUGGGGCGGUCUCCUCCUAAAGAGUAACGGAGGAGUACGAAGGUGCGCUCAGCGUGGUCGGAAAUCACGCGUAGAGUAUAAAGGCAAAAGCGCGCUUAACUGCGAGACCCACAAGUCGAGCAGGUACGAAAGUAGGUCUUAGUGAUCCGGUGGUUCUGUAUGGAAGGGCCAUCGCUCAACGGAUAAAAGGUACUCUGGGGAUAACAGGCUGAUACCGCCCAAGAGUUCAUAUCGACGGCGGUGUUUGGCACCUCGAUGUCGGCUCAUCUCAUCCUGGGGCUGAAGCAGGUCCCAAGGGUAUGGCUGUUCGCCAUUUAAAGAGGUACGCGAGCUGGGUUUAGAACGUCGUGAGACAGUUCGGUCCCUAUCUACCGUGGGCGCUGGAAAUUUGAGAGGAUCUGCUCCUAGUACGAGAGGACCAGAGUGGACGAACCUCUGGUGUACCGGUUGUGACGCCAGUCGCAUCGCCGGGUAGCUAUGUUCGGAAGGGAUAACCGCUGAAAGCAUCUAAGCGGGAAGCCUACCUCAAGAUAAGAUUUCCCUAGGACUUUAUGUCCUCUAAAGAGCCGUUCGAGACUAGGACGUUGAUAGGUUGGAUGUGGAAGCAUAGUGAUAUGUGAAGCUGACCAAUACUAAUUGCUCGUGAGGCUUGACU
rnacentral:rRNA from 4 species